UGAGUCCUACGGGGGGCAGCGGUGGGGAAUAUUGCGCAAUGGGCGAAAGCCUGACGCAGCGACGCCGCGUGAGGGAUGAAGGGCUUCGGAUCGUAAACCUCUGUCAGCAGGGAAGAACGGUCACUGUGCUAAUCAGCAGUGACUUGACGGUACCUGCAAAGGAAGCAACGGCUAACUCCGUGCCAGCAGCCGCGGUAAUACGGAGGGUGCGAGCGGUAAUCGGAAUUACUGGGCGUAAAGCGCUCGUAGGCGGUAUGUCAAGUCAAGGGUUAAAUCCCCGCGCUCAACGUGUGAACGG
rnacentral:rRNA from 1 species